GCCACCUUAGCUCAGUUGGUAGAGCGCCCGCCUUGUAAGCGGACGGUCGCGGGUUCGAGUCCCGCAGGUGGCUCCG
rnacentral:tRNA from 1 species